UUUUCAGCCGCUGGUUGUCCAGUUUCUCGUUAUCAUUCAUGUUUUCGAAUGUAUAGGAAUCGAUUCAGAAGAAAAAAAUCGAAUUCUUUUCGACUAUCCUUCUCACAGAACCCGUUCACUUCGGCUCAGCUAAGCACCGGACUAUUUUUUUUUCCUGCUAGCAAGUAAUAGCCUCGCGUUGCAUGACGGGAAUGCCGGUGGAAUGGGUGCAGUCAAGCCUUUGGGCUGUGUUCCAAAUUCUAUCGGAUAAUUAAACUACUACAUAGGGCGCACAAGGCAUUCAUACAUACCCUAGGUAGUGAACAUAACCAGGGAGUCAGGAGUCAUUUGGAGUUCGGCCUUUAUCUAUAGGGGGAAGCCCCAAAGGCGAAAACAGGAGGCCCUCACAGGGUCAUGAAUAAAUUUAUAGAAACUUCACGAAGAAUACUGAAUCUCUGAAGAGCAUUUUAAUCACAAAUUCACUUCUUUUUAGUUUAUUUAGCAUCAUAAACUGAUUUCAUUAUGAAUUUUUUAUUUGCACAAGAAAAACUCUAAGAACCAGAAUAAUGUAACAGCUCAGUCUGCAGAUAAGGGUCUGUCUAUGGUUGAGGAGUGGCAUGCAAAAGUUUGGGCACCCUUGCUGAAAAUGUCUGUUACUGUGAAUAGUUAGCCCUAAAGUGAGCAGAAGAUGAACUGAUCACCAAAAGGCAUAAAGGUUUGCAGCAUCAGUUUCAAGGUGAAGUGUAAAUAAAUACUGCUGCAUGCUCUCCAUACAGAGGGCUGAGAUCUUUAUGGUGUAACGCAUCUGUUUGCUGAAUAAAGAAUUGACUCCCUCCACAGCACUGUUCAUCAUACUCUUCAUUUAUAAAAGAAGAUUUUACUCACCAGAGUUUAACAGUGAUUAUAUAUAUAUGAUGUAAGCAGUAAAACAUAAUGAACAUGCCGUUAAUGUGGUAAGUUCAAUGCCCAAUGUUACCGCCCCAGAGCUUACUAUUUUCCAAUAACAGCAUGACUUAAAAUGUUUCAUGUUGCAUUCCAUUUAGGUUGUAUUCCCACCUUUUUACCUGAUGUGCCCAGGAUAAAGAGGUUACUGAAGGUAAAUGAACAGUUAUAUGUAGAGUACUCGUCAAAAAUUUGCACACACUUACUCAUUCAUAGAUUUUGCUGUAUUUUGACUAUUUUCUACUUUGUAGAACAAUAUUGAAGAUAUCAAAACUAUGAAAUAACAUAUGGAACAGAUAUGGAAAUAUUAUAUGGACAUGACCA